CUCUCUGUGACUCCUACGGGAGGCAGCAGUGGGGAAUAUUGGACAAUGGGCGCAAGCCUGAUCCAGCCAUGCCGCGUGAGUGAUGAAGGCCCUAGGGUUGUAAAGCUCUUUUGUGCGGGAAGAUAAUGACGGUACCGCAAGAAUAAGCCCCGGCUAACUUCGUGCCAGCAGCCGCGGUAAUACGAAGGGGCUAGCGUUGCUCGGAAUCACUGGGCGUAAAGGGUGCGUAGGCGGGGUCUUUAAGUCAGGGGUGAAAUCCUGGAGCUCAACUCCAGAACUGCCUUUGAUACUGAAGAUCUUGAGUUCGGGAGAGGUGAGUGGAACUGCGAGUGUAGAGGUGAAAUUCGUAGAUAUUCGCAAGAACACCAGUGGCGAAGGCGGCUCACUGGCCCGAUACUGACGCUGAGGCACGAAAGCGUGGGGAGCAAACAGGAUUAGAUACCCUGGUAG
rnacentral:rRNA from 1 species